UGGGGAAUAUUGCGCAAUGGGGGAAACCCUGACGCAGCGACGCCGCGUGCGUGAUGAAGGCCUUCGGGUUGUAAACCGCUUUUUAUUGGGAGCAAGUUCUCGGGCGAUUGCACCUUUCGAAUAAGCGCCGGCUAACUACGUGCCAGUAGCCGCGGUAAUACGUACGGCGCAAGCGUUACCCGGAAUUAUUGGGCGUAGAGAGCUUGUAGGCGGUUCGUCGCGUCUGGUGUGAAAGCCCAUCGCUUAACGGUGGGUUUGCGCCGGGUACGGGCGGGCUAGAGUGCAUUAGGGGAUACUGGAAUUCCCGGUGUAACGGUGGAAUGUGUAGAUAUAGCGAAGAACACCAAUGGCGAAGGCAGGUUUAUGGGCUGUUACAGUCGUUGAGAAGCGAAAGCGUGGAGAGCGAACAGG
rnacentral:rRNA from 1 species